rnacentral:lncRNA from 1 species
CGUGACACUAUUCUUCCAUCUCUUUAAGACCUAAAAUAACAUGAUCGAUCACACGCGAGAUCUAGGUCUAAUUUCUUUGUGGCAAGUUCCAAAUUCUUUGAGACCUAUUCUGAAAGCAUGAAAAAUUUCAAGCAUCGCUUCUUCUUUGACAUUCCCCUCAACUAAAAAUUUCAUGCGAAAAAAUGUAAAUUACAACUCGGGCCUCCAUACAUGUGCCAGAGUCAUUUGUUGGCAAGAAACAGAUCUUAUAUUUCCCAGGAGGAUGACCUAUCCAAAG